UUUGUUGUGCCGAUACACCUGCAUCACUGUCAGGUUGGUUGGAUGCAAAUUAUGAAGUUUGGACAUGGAAUAUAAUGGAGCAUUCGAAGGGUCCAAGUCAGAAAUUCUAGAGAAGUUGUCGAGUGGAAGUGAAUGUCCUCUUCGUCAUCCUAAAACUGAGAUUGUGCAUUUGGGGAAGCAUUUAGAAUGUUUAUCUUGCCAUGUCGCCGGGAAUGUUUUGCAUUGUUUCGCAAAAGUGAGUCAGAAAAAAAGGAAGCAUUUUCACUGUCCCUACUGCCCUAAAAUGUACGAAAGAAGUGCUCAUUUAAAAAGUCACUUAUCCUCUCAAAGAGGAAAAUGCUGUAGUCAAAAAUUGGAAUGUAAUCAAAAAGCGGCGUGAAAAGCGAU